rnacentral:rRNA from 1 species
GAUGAACGCUGGCGGCGUGCCUAAUACAUGCAAGUCGAGCGAACGGACGAGAAGCUUGCUUCUCUGAUGUUAGCGGCGGACGGGUGAGUAACACGUGGAUAACCUACCUAUAAGACUGGGAUAACUUCGGGAAACCGGAGCUAAUACCGGAUAAUAUUUUGAACCGCAUGGUUCAAAAGUGAAAGACGGUCUUGCUGUCACUUAUAGAUGGAUCCGCGCUGCAUUAGCUAGUUGGUAAGGUAACGGCUUACCAAGGCAACGAUGCAUAAACGACCUGAGAGGGUGAUCGGCCACACGGGAACUGAGACACGGUCCAGACUCCUACGGGAGGCAGCAGUAGGGAAUCUUACGCAAUGGGCGAAAGCCUGACGGAGCAACGCCGCGUGAGUGAUGAAGGUCUUCGGAUCGUAAAACUCUGUUAUUAGGGAAGAACAUAUGUGUAAGUAACUGUGCACAUCUUGACGGUACCUAAUCAGAAGGCCACGGCUAACUACGUG